UCUCGAACUACGAAUCUCACUCAACCAAUGACCAAUGGCUCACUUUCGGACAUCGAACCUUGCCUAAACGCCGACCACGGCUUACGUAUGGACUCCGACCCGAGCCCCAAUGUUAACCCCAGCCGACCGACAUAGCCUAGAGCUUAUUAAGUUCAGUUGGUUAUAAUGUCAGUGGAUGACUCCUCAGCUGAUUGAUAACAGCAGUGUAUGUUGUCACUCAUGUUGGACUGUGGCCACGGUGUGGCUCUGCACCAAUCAAGGACAAAUAAUAUUUCAAAUGAAGAAGCAACCACUAGCACUGGUCACAGUUAACGUGGAUUAUCUUUGUUACAAAUAUGUUCCAUAGACUGCAUAUUAACACGGAAAGAGAAUCACAUA